rnacentral:tRNA from 1 species
AAGUAUGUAUUUCGAAACCUUAGUAUGCAGUUAGGAUUCUAGUAUAUUUA